UGAUAGCCAGUUCAUCACGUAACAUGUCAGGACGGUAAUGAUAGCCUGUACGGGUCAGAGAAAAAGUCCGAAAGGCCUCUCUGAUGCUGAGGGAAGGUGUUUGCACCACAUAACUGACCCGCUUCUGUUUUGCUGUGGGCUUC
rnacentral:sRNA from 1 species